rnacentral:rRNA from 1 species
AACGAACGCUGGCGGCAUGCCUAACACAUGCAAGUCGAACGAGACCUUCGGGUCUAGUGGCGCACGGGUGCGUAACGCGUGGGAACCUGCCCUUAGGUUCGGAAUAACUCCCCGACAGGGGUGCUAAUACCGGAUAGUGUCUUCGGACCAAAGAUUUAUCGCCUUUGGAUGGGCCCGCGUUGGAUUAGCUAGUUGGUAGGGUAAAAGCCUACCAAGGCGACGAUCCAUAGCUGGUCUGAGAGGAUGAUCAGCCACACUGGGACUGAGACACGGCCCAGACUCCUACGGGAGGCAGCAGUGGGGAAUAUUGGACAAUGGGCGAAAGCCUGAUCCAGCAAUGCCGCGUGAGUGAUGAAGGCCUUAGGGUUGUAAAGCUCUUUUACCCGGGAUGAUAAUGACAGUACCGGGAGAAUAAGCUCCGGCUAACUCCGUG